rnacentral:rRNA from 1 species
CCUACGGGAGGCAGCAGUGGGGAAUUUUGCGCAAUGGGGGAAACCCUGACGCAGCAACGCCGCGUGAGUGAUGAAGGCCUUCGGGUCGUAAAGCUCUGACAGAGGGGAAGAACCGGCAGGAUGUUAAUACCAUCCUGUCCUGACGGUA